rnacentral:rRNA from 1 species
UGCAGUCGACGGUGACGACGAGCUUGCUGGUCUGAUCAGUGGCGAACGGGUGAGUAACACGUGAGCAACCUGCCCUUCACUCUGGGAUAACCACGGGAAACGGUGGCUAAUACCGGAUAUGAGACGUGCCUGCAUGGGUGGCGUCUGGAAAGAUUUAUCGGUGAGGGAUGGGCUCGCGGCCUAUCAGCUUGUUGGUGGGGUAAUGGCCUACCAAGGCGACGACGGGUAGCCGGCCUGAGAGGGCGACCGGCCACACUGGGACUGAGACACGGCCCAGACUCCUACGGGAGGCAGCAGUGGGGAAUAUUGCACAAUGGGCGCAAGCCUGAUGCAGCGACGCCGCGUGAGGGAUGACGGCCUUCGGGUUGUAAACCUCUUUCAGCAGGGAAGAAGCGAAAGUGACGGUACCUGCAGAAGAAGCGCCGGCUAACUACGUGCCAGCAGCCGCGGUAAUACGUAGGGCGCAAGCGUUGUCCGGAAUUAUUGGGCGUAAAGAGCUCGUAGGCGGUUUGUCGCGUCUGCUGUGAAAACCUGAGGCUCAACCUCGGGCUUGCAGUGGGUACGGGCAGACUAGAGUGCGGUAGGGGUGACUGGAAUUCCUGGUGUAGCGGUGGAAUGCGCAGAUAUCAGGAGGAACACCGAUGGCGAAGGCAGGUCACUGGGCCGCAACUGACGCUGAGGAGCGAAAGCAUGGGGAGCGAACAGGAUUAGAUACCCUGGUAGUCCAUGCCGUAAACGUUGGGCACUAGGUGUGGGGCUCAUUCCACGAGUUCCGUGCCGCAGCAAACGCAUUAAGUGCCCCGCCUGGGGAGUACGGCCGCAAGGCUAAAACUCAAAGAAAUUGACGGGGGCCCGCACAAGCGGCGGAGCAUGCGGAUUAAUUCGAUGCAACGCGAAGAACCUUACCAAGGCUUGACAUACACCGGAAACUUCCAGAAAUGGUUGCCCCSCAAGGUCG